rnacentral:rRNA from 1 species
UGCAAGUCGAGUGCGCAGUUUGCUGUAGCAAUACAGCAGGCCGGCGCACGGCGCACGGGUGCGUAACACGUGGGCAACCUGCCCUCCAAAGGGGGAUAACCCGCCGAAAGGCGGGCUAAUACCGCAUGAUAUUCCGGUGGCCUCGGCCGUCGGAAUCAAAGCUCGAAAGGGCGUUGGAGGAGGGGCCCGCGGCCGAUUAGCUUGUUGGCGAGGUAACGGCUCACCAAGGCUUUGAUCGGUAGCCGGUCUGAGAGGAUGGCCGGCCACACUGGAACUGAGACACGGUCCAGACUCCUACGGGAGGCAGCAGUGGGGAAUCUUGCGCAAUGGGCGAAAGCCUGACGCAGCGACGCCGCGUGGGGGAUGAAGCUUCUCGGAGUGUAAACCCCUUUCGACCCGGACGAAACGCCCGCAAGGGCUUGACGGUACGGGUAUAAGAAGCCCCGGCUAACUACGUGCCAGCAGCCGCGGUAAGACGUAGGGGGCCAGCGUUGCUCGGAAUUACUGGGCGUAAAGGGUUCGUAGGCGGUGCGGUAAGUCGGAAGUGAAAUCUCUGGGCUUAACUCAGAGGCUGCUUUCGAAACUGCCGUGCUCGAGUGCGGGAGAGGCGAGUGGAAUUGCAGGUGUAGCGGUGAAAUGCGUAGAUAUCUGCAGGAACACCCGUGGCGAA